rfam:Heligmosomoides polygyrus genome assembly, scaffold: HPBE_contig0001867
GCGCCGGUGGUGUAAAGGCGUAGAGCAUUACCGCGCGGUCAGAGGGAGGUGCGGGUUCGAGUCCCGCCUGGCGCC